GUCUACACCACCCUGAACGCACCCAAUCCCGUCUGAUCUCAGAAGCUAAGCAGGGUCGGGCUGGCAUAGGGUAGGCACACACUGAGCCAGUCAGUGUAGCGC
rnacentral:rRNA from 1 species